AAUGUAUAAAAAGCCCACAUUCAUUGCAUCAAACCCUCCAACAACAUCCCGGAAUUUGUCGAGAUCCGGCGCCGGUCGUCGGAUUUCUUCUCAUUCUCCGGCAACAUGAUGAAGCUCUCUUCUUCCGCCGUCGCCGCCUCCGUCCUCGCCGCCUCUACGGCGGCGCUCUCCUCCUCUCAUCCUUCUUCAUCCGUUCAGGAACUUAGAGGGGUGAAGGGUGGGGAAAUGAAGGUCGAGAAGGAGAAAUUUGCACCGAGAUUUGAUGGGUUGAAGUUUAUCGAGACAUUGGUGACGGCUCACAGGAACAAUUCGAUGUAGGGUUGUGACGUUUUGAUUUGGUUUGAUGGGGUCGAUUAUUGUUAUUGUUAUUUUUGGUAUUGUUUUGAUUUGAGUUACAGAUCCCAUUUGUUGGGCGCCGAAUGUAUUGAAAUGAAAACUAUUUGAGUUUGUUGUCAAACAUCUUUUCAUUUAAUUUGUUCGGAUGUUGCUUUAGAUACUAUUGGAUCUUGUUAUGAGA